rnacentral:rRNA from 1 species
CCUACGGGUGACAGCAGUGGGGGAUUUUGCACAAUGGGGGAAACCCUGAUGCAGCGACGCCGCGUGAGCGAAGAAGUAUUUCGGUUUGUAAAGCCCUAUCAGCAGGGAAGAAGAAAUGACGUUACCUGAGUAAGAAGCACCGCCGAAAUACGUGACAGAAGCAGCGGUAAUACGGUGGGUGCAAGCGUUAUCCGGCUUUACUGGGGGUAAUGGGAGCGCAGGCGGGAGGGAAAGCCUGAUGGAAAAGGCCGAGGGCGAAACGGGGGGAUGGAGUGGGAAUUACCGGGCUGGAGUGCAGGAGAGGAAGGCGGAAUUCCUAGUGUAGCGGUGAAAUGCGUAGAUAUAAGGAGGAACACCAGUGGCGAAGGCGGCGUACUGGGCAGUGACUGACGCUGAGGCCCGAAAGCGUGGGGAGCAAACAGGAUUAGAUACCCGAGUAGUC